AGUUCCGCCUUGGGACGAGGCCCUGGCUGGGGGAACCGCAUCAGGCCUGACACCCAUCCCAUUCCCCCCUAAACCCAGAACGACAUCCAACCUCAUUCCGCAGCCCCUUCCCGACCUCGCCGCUCAGGCUAUGAUGGAAAGGUCCCUGGGAGUGGGGAGGAGGGCGAAUUUAAACCCAGAGAGAGAUCCUGUAGCCCAGUUCUCCUCGGUUCCCUAAACCUCCAGGAAAGCGGAGAAAGUCACAUUGUGGUGGCAGCUGCAGGUUUUUUUUUUUUAAUCUGUUAAUAAAACGCAAGUGAAUCAAAUCCGCCCUAAGGGAAGGGGGGGGGGCGCGGCGAGGCAGGGGCCAUGGUGUUUGCAGAAGUUGGAAAUUUAAUAAGAAGGAAAAAUAAAAAUAGCCACUGUGCUGGAGAGAGAGAGAGAGAAGGUUGGGAGAAGCAGCGCCCCUCACCUUCUGAGCUACUCAAGAGAUGGGGGACAGGAGCAGUACUGCCAAGAACAGUUGUGCAAGUUGCACACUGCACAAGCAUACCAGACAGAAGCUAGAGCAGAAGCUGACGUCGUCUGUUCCCCUCACCACACAUUGCAUCUGCCCAGAGGAAGAGGUGCCGUGCUGGGCAGUGAAUGAAUGAACCUUGCCCUGGGUUUAACACUCCAGUGGGAUGAACAGACAAACCCCACAAGCACUGCAUACGGCUUCAUGUCCAUUUUGGGUCGUUGCAAGGAGGUUCUGCUCAUCAUAGUCUCCGAUGGAACAGCCACAUUCUGGAACAUUAUGAAACAUUGCUUGCUGUCACGCUGGAAGGAACCUAUUCCAUCGGAAGACUCGUGGAUGAAGACGGUUAUGGUAAU
rnacentral:lncRNA from 1 species